rnacentral:rRNA from 1 species
GUCUAUGGACAUGCCACCCUGAAAAAGCCCGAUCCUGACUGAUCUCGGAAGCAAAACAGUGUCAGGCCUGGUUAGUAUUUGGGUGGGAGACCACCUAGAAGACCAGCUGCUAUAGGUG